GUCCCGGUAGAGUAAGAUUUGUUUUCGCUUUAUCCUGCUUUAUGACUCUUUACAAGAUAGUUUUACUUAAGUUUAGGGAAAAUUUUGCAAAGACUUAAAAUGAAAGCCCCCUGAAGUUGGUCAUUUUUUGUGGUUUAUCCGGCUUAUUUGGCUGUCCAAAUCGAAUUAAUUUUGACUUCGUUUCAAAGACAUAAUUUUCAAA
rnacentral:lncRNA from 1 species